rnacentral:rRNA from 1 species
GACGAACGCUGGCGGCGUGCUUAACACAUGCAAGUCGAGCGGUGAAGCGCCUUCCUUUUUGGUGGGUGUGGAUGAGUGGCGAACGGGUGAGUAACACGUGAGUAACCUGCCCCCCUCUUCUGGAUAACCGCAUGAAAGUGUGGCUAAUACGGGAUAUUCUGGGUCUGUCGCAUGAUGGGUCUGGGAAAGAUAUUGUUUCGGUGGGGGAUGGGCUCGCGGCCUAUCAGCUUGUUGGUGGGGUGAUGGCCUACCAAGGCGGUGACGGGUAGCCGGCCUGAGAGGGUGGACGGUCACACUGGGACUGAGACACGGCCCAGACUCCUACGGGGGGCAGCAGUGGGGAAUAUUGCACGAUGGGCGCAAGCCUGAUGCAGCGACGCCGCGUGAGGGAUGGAGGCCUUCGGGUUGUGAACCUCUUUCGCCAGUGAAGCAGGCCUGCCUCGUUUGUGGGUGGGUUGACGGUAGCUGGAUAAGAAGCGCCGGCUAACUACGUG